rnacentral:rRNA from 1 species
UUUUUGUUUGACCUCAAAUCAGGUAGGGCUACCCGCUGAACUUAAGCAUAUCAAUAAGCGGAAGGAAUUCGUAAAAAA